AGAAAUCUCUCCCUGAUUCACAUUAAUCCAGUGCUGCACACACUCUGAUAUCACAACACUGUGGUGCUACUCUGUAAUGGCUCCUUCUGUCCAUUCACUUCCCUUCACCUAUAAUGAACCUGCUGCACAGGUGACAACUAGUCCUGCUAAUAUUUUACCCCUCGAAUAGGCAGAGCAUGGAAAAGAGAGGAUUUAUUUUAGGUAGAUGGCAAACUAUACUCUUCCUCCACUAGAUGGCGACACUUCAUGAACAUCUAACUGAAUCAGGGAAACCUGAUGACUCAGUCAAAAGUGAUGUACACUAUUAAUGCAAUUGUGUGGUCACGCCUACUAAUUACUGAGGGAACACACUACAAUGUGGAGUGCAGGGAACUGGAGGACCAGGACUGGGAAACACUGGUAAACCAUUCAAUACUGUGGAGACUCAACAUUCACUUACAGAG